GAUGAACGCUGGCGGCGUGCCUAAUACAUGCAAGUCGAGCGAACGGACGAGAAGCUUGCUUCUCUGAUGUUAGCGGCGGACGGGUGAGUAACACGUGGAUAACCUACCUAUAAGACUGGGAUAACUUCGGGAAACCGGAGCUAAUACCGGAUAAUAUUUUGAACCGCAUGGUUCAAAAGUGAAAGACGGUCUUGCUGUCACUUAUAGAUGGAUCCGCGCUGCAUUAGCUAGUUGGUAAGGUAACGGCUUCCAAGGCAACGAUGCAUAGCCGACCUGAGAGGGUGAUCGGCCACACUGGAACUGAGACACGGUCCAGACUCCUACGGGAGGCAGCAGUAGGGAAUCUUCCGCAAUGGGCGAAAGCCUGACGGAGCAACGCCGCGUGAGUGAUGAAGGUCUUCGGAUCGUAAAACUCUGUUAUUAGGGAAGAACAUAUGUGUAAGUAACUGUGCACAUCUUGACGGUACCUAAUCAGAAAGCCACGGCUAACUACGUG
rnacentral:rRNA from 1 species